rnacentral:rRNA from 1 species
GUGGGGAAUAUUGGACAAUGGGCGAAAGCCUGAUCCAGCAAUGCCGCGUGAGUGAUGAAGGCCCUAGGGUUGUAAAGCUCUUUUACCCGGGAUGAUAAUGACAGUACCGGGAGAAUAAGCUCCGGCUAACUCCGUGCCAGCAGCCGCGGUAAUACGGAGGGAGCUAGCGUUGUUCGGAAUUACUGGGCGUAAAGCGCGCGUAGGCGGUUUUUUAAGUCAGAGGUGAAAGCCCGGGGCUCAACCCCGGAAUUGCCUUUGAAACUGGAAAACUUGAAUCUUGGAGAGGUCAGUGGAAUUCCGAGUGUAGAGGUGAAAUUCGUAGAUAUUCGGAAGAACACCAGUGGCGAAGGCGACUGACUGGACAAGUAUUGACGCUGAGGUGCGAAAGCGUGGGGAGCGAACGGGAUUAGAAACCCCAGUAGUCC